CUUUGUGUCCUACUCUACUUUCCCAGGUUUUGUUUCCUGGAGGGACCCCAAGAGUGGCUCCUGGUACGUUGAGACCCUGGACGACAUCUUUGAGCAGUGGGCUCACUCUGAAGACCUGCAGUCCCUCCUGCUUAGGGUCGCUAAUGCUGUUUCGGUGAAAGGGAUUUAUAAACAGAUGCCUGGUUGCUUUAAUUUCCUCCGGAAAAAACUUUUCUUUAAAACAUCAUAAGGCCAGGGCCCCUCACCCUGCCUUAUCUUGCACCCCAAAGCUUUCCUGCCCCAGGCCUGAAAGAGGCUGAGGCCUGGACUUUCCUGCAACUCAAGGACUUUGCAGCCGGCACAGGGUCUGCUCUUUCUCUGCCAGUGACAGACAGGCUCUUAGCAGCUUCCAGAUUGACGACAAGUGCUGAACAGUGGAGGAAGAGGGACAGAUGAAUGCCGUGGAUUGCACGUGGCCUCUUGAGCAGUGGCUGGUCCAGGGCUAGUGACUUGUGUCCCAUGAUCCCUGUGUUGUCUCUAGAGCAGGGAUUAACCUCUGCACUACUGACAUGUGGGGCCAGGUCACCCUUUGCUGUGAGGCUGUCCUGUACAUUGUGGGAUGUUCAGCACUGUCCCUUGCCUCAAUGCCAGUAACGCGUCUUCCUGAGUGGUGCCAAACAAAAAGGUUCUCAGGUGUUGCCAAAUAUGUCCUGGGGUAUAAAACUUUCCUCGCCUGACAACCACUGGUCUGUAGGGAUUUUUGGCUACACACAAACCAGUAUCGCUCAUAGAUCAGCAAACCGGGGCCUACUAGAGUCUGAACAGCUGUAAUCUAUGAAUUCUAAGUGAAAUUUUAAAAAUUGUUAAUUUUUCCUAUAUUGCAUUAAUUUUAAAAAAUAAAUCUGAGGCAAAU
rnacentral:lncRNA from 10 species